CGCCUGGGGGAUGGCUCGGCUCGGGAGCCGAGGAAGGCCGUGGCAAGCUGCGAUAAGCCCCGGCGAGGCGCAUGCAGCCGUAGAACCGGGGAUUGCCGAAUGGGACCUCCUGUCAUCCCGAAAGGGAUGACACUCCCUCUGGGAGGGGGAACCCGCCGAACUGAAACAUCUUAGUAGGCGGAGGAAAAGAAAGCAAUAGCGAUGCCGUGAGUAGGGGCGACCGAAAGCGGCAGAGGGCAAACUGAACUCUCUCCCGUGAGGGAGAGGGGAUGUAGUGUUGUAGGUCACGACCAGCCCUAGGCACUGACCCAGUCGGGGAAGCCGAAGUCCCCUGGAAUGGGGCGCCAAAGAGGGUGAAAGCCCCGUAGGCGUAACCUGACUGGGUCAGGGUCGUGACCUGAGUACCACGGGUCGGAUAUCCCGUGGGAAGCUGGGAGGCACCGACUCCCAACCCUAAAUACUCCCCGAGACCGAUAGCGCACUAGUACCGUGAGGGAAAGCUGAAAAGUACCCCGGGAGGGGGGUGAAAAGAGCCUGAAACCAGGCGGUUAUAGGCGGGCGCGGCCCGAAAGGGUAGAAGCCUCCCGAAGGAACCCCUGGCAACAGGGUAGUACGAGGGGGGUGGACCAGGGUCGCGUCUUUCGUCUUGUAUCACGAGCCGGGGAGUUCACGGCUGUGGCGAGGCUAAGGGGUUCAACCCCGGAGCCUCAGGGAAACCGACAGGUCCGCAGCCCAUUUCGGGUGAGGGACGGGGUGUGAAAGCGCCCGAAGUCACAGCCGUGAGACCCGAAACCGGUCGAUCUAGCCGUGGGUAGGGUGAAGCCGUCCCUACGGACGGUGGAGGCCCGCAAGGGUUCUGACGUGCAAUUCGUUCCCCUAACCCGCGGCUAGGGGUGAAAGGCCAAUCUAGACCGGAGAUAGCUGGUUCCCCCCGAAAUGGCCCGCAGGCCAGUCCGACGCGAGGUAGCCGGUGGGGUAGAGCACUGAAUGGGGGUUUAGGGGGCGAGAGCCCUCGGCCUCCUCUCAAACUCCGAACCUGCCGGCGCCGUAGACCGUCGGAAACGGGGACGGGGGGUAAGCCCCCGUUCCGUGAGGGGAACAACCCAGACCGAGGUUAAGGCCCCAAAGAGCCGGCUAAGUACUAAGUCAAAGGGCGUCCUUGGCCUUAGACAGCGGGGAGGUUGGCUUAGAAGCAGCCAUCCUUUAAAGAGUGCGUAACAGCUCACCCGUCGAGGCCAAGGGCCCCGAAAAUGGAAGGGGUUAAGCCGGCCGCCGAUACCUCGGGGCACCCCUUAGAGGGGUGAUCCGGUAGGGGGGCGUCCCGCGUGGGUAGAAGCUCGGCCGUGAGGUCGAGUGGACCACGCGGGAACGAGAAUCCCGGCGGUAGUAGCAGCAAAGUCGGGUGAGAAUCCCGACCGCCGAAAGGGCCAGGGUUCUGUGGCAACGUUCGUCGGCCACAGGUUAGUCGGUCCUAAGGUGGCCCCUAACAGGGAGCCGCCGAAAGGGAAACCCGUUAAUAUUCGGGUACCGCCUGGGUACUCGCGGCAACGCAAGCCCAGUCUCCGACGCCUCGGGGUAGGCCGAGCGCGGCUGUCGCCGCGUCUAACUGUAUAAGCCCGGGGAGAGCCGUAAUGGCGAGAACCGGGUGAAAGCAGGAAUGGCCCUCCCUUAGGAGGGUUCGGCCGAGCUCCGGGGCCCGUGAAAAGGGGACUGGGAAGGAUCCCAGGCGACCGUACCGAGAACCGACACUGGUGUCCCUGGGUGAGUAGCCUAAGGCGUGUCGGGGACAACCCGGCCGAGGGAAUUCGGCAAAUUGGCCCCGUAACUUCGGGAGAAGGGGUGCCAGCCGUGCAGACGGCUGGUCGCAGUGACUAGGGGGGUCCGACUGUUUAAUAGAAACGUAGGUCCCCGCUAGCCCGUAAGGGUGUGUACGGGGGCUGAGGCCUGCCCAGUGCCGGUCCGUGAAACCCCGGUUCAACGGGGUGAAGCGCCGGUAAACGGCGGGGGUAACUAUGACCCUCUUAAGGUAGCGUAAUCCCUUGCCGCUUAAUUGGCGGCCUGCAUGAAGGCUUAACGAGACCCCCACUGUCCCCGGCCGGGACCCGGUGAACCCGCUGCCUGGUGCAAAUGCCAGGGACCCCCGACGGGAAGCGAAGACCCCGUGAACCUUUACUGCAGCCUGCCGUUGGGGUACGGUCGAAGGUGUACAGCGUAGGCGGGAGCCGUCGAAGCGGCCUCGCUAGGGGCCGUGGAGGCGCCCAUGGGACACCGCCCUCCUUCGACUGUAUCCCUAACCCCUAAGGGGGGACAGCGGUAGGUGGGCAGUUUGGCUGGGGCGGCACGCCCCUGAAAAGAUAUCAGGGGCGCCCAAAGGUCGGCUCAGGCGGGUCAGAACUCCGCCGUAGAGUGCAAGGGCAAAAGCCGGCCUGACUGGACUCCGAAAAGCGAGGAGUCCAGGGGGGAAACCCGGGCCUAGCGAACCUCCGUGUCCCCCCCGGUGGGGGUCGGAGACGACAGAAAAGGUACUCCGGGGAUAACAGGGUGGUCGCGGGCAAGAGCCCAUAUCGACCCCGCGGCUUGCUACCUCGAUGUCGGCUCUCUCCAUCCUGGGCGUGCAGCAGCGCCCAAGGGUGGGGUUGUUCGCCCAUUAAAGGGGAACGUGAGCUGGGUUUAGACCGUCGCGAGACAGGUUGGAUGCUAUCUGUCGGGGGUGUUGGCCGCCUGAGGGGAAGGUGCCCUCAGUACGAGAGGAACGGGGCGCCGGGGCCUCUGGUCUACCGGUUGUCCGACAGGGCACAGCCGGGCAGCUAAGCCCCAUGCCGAUAAGGGCUGAAAGCAUCUAAGCCCGAAGCGGCCCCCGAAAAGAGGCGGCCAUUCCCUGGCGAGG
rnacentral:rRNA from 1 species